rnacentral:rRNA from 1 species
GACGAACGCUGGCGGCGUGCUUAACACAUGCAAGUCGAACGAUGAUGCCCAGCUUGCUGGGCGGAUUAGUGGCGAACGGGUGAGUAACACGUGAGUAACCUGCCCCUGACUCUGGGAUAAGCGUUGGAAACGACGGCUAAUACUGGAUAUGAUCGCCGACCGCAUGGUCUGGUGGUGGAAAGAUUUUUUGGUUGGGGAUGGACUCGCGGCCUAUCAGCUUGUUGGUGAGGUAAUGGCUCACCAAGGCGACGACGGGUAGCCGGCCUGAGAGGGUGACCGGCCACACUGGGACUGAGACACGGCCCAGACUCCUACGGGAGGCAGCAGUGGGGAAUAUUGCACAAUGGGCGAAAGCCUGAUGCAGCAACGCCGCGUGAGGGAUGACGGCCUUCGGGUUGUAAACCUCUUUUAGUAGGGAAGAAGCGAAAGUGACGGUACCUGCAGAAAAAGCACCGGCUAACUACAUG